GGUGAGGGUGGUUUUGA
rnacentral:miRNA from 1 species